AAAGACGCACGUUUCGCCGGAUUUCAGGGAAGCGGAGUGAAAUGCUCCCGCCGCCCCGCGACUGUAACGAGGACGAAAGCCCAGCGAACGCCACUGACUUUUUUUGAAAAAGUUGGGAAGGAGGGCCAGUAGGACGAUUCGGAGCCAGGAUAUCUGGUCCGGCGAAUGGACAAUUCG
rnacentral:ncRNA from 2 species